rnacentral:rRNA from 1 species
UACGGAGGGGGCUAGCGUUGUUCGGAAUUACUAGGCGUAAAGCGCACGUAGGCGGCUUUGUAAGUUAGAGGUGAAAGCCCAGGGCUUAACUCUGGAAUUGCCUUUAAGACUGCAUCGCUAGAAUCGUGGAGAGGUGAGUGGAAUUCCGAGUGUAGAGGUGAAAUUCGUAGAUAUUCGGAAGAACACCGGUGGCGAAGGCGGCUCACUGGCCCGAAACUGACGCUCAUGCACGACAGCGUGGGGAUCAAACAGG